CGGCGGGCUAGGCCGGGGGGUUCGGCGUCCCCUGUAACCGGAAACCGCCGAUAUGCCGGGGCCGAAGCCCGAGGGGCGGUUCCCGAAGCCGCCUCUGGAAGCCAGGGCCGAACGAUGAGUCCUCGUCCCGCGGGGUGCCCGGUGGGGGAGGCACGGCUGAAGGGCCGUGCUAACCCCCUUUGGGCCCCAAACCCCGCAAGGCCCGGAAGGGAGCAGCGGUAGGGGCCACGGAGCACGCUCGCGGGGGUGCGGGGAUGAGGUAGGCCCUGGUGAAAGGAGGCGGUGGAGGGUUCCCACCCUCGGGCGUGCCCGCCG
rnacentral:SRP_RNA from 14 species